CCUACGGGUGGCAGCAGUGGGGGAUCUUCCACAAUGGGGGAAACCCUGAUCGAGCGACGCCGCGUGAGUGAAGAAGUUUUUCGGUACGUAAAACUCUGUUAGCAGAGAAGAAAGAACUUAAGAUUACUGGGUAAGAAGCCCCGGCUAACUACGUGCAAGCAGCCGCGGUAAUACGUAGGGGGAAAGCGUUAUCCGGAAUUACUGGGUGUAAUGGGAGCGUAGACGGUAAUGCAAGUCUGGAGUGAAAGGCGGCGGCCCAACCCCCGGACUGCUCUGGAAACUGGGUAACUGGAGUGCAGGAGAGGCAAGUGGAAUUCCUAGUGUAGCGGUGAAAUGCGUAGAUAUUAGGAGGAACACCAGUGGCGAAGGCGGCCUGCUGGACUGUAACUGACGUUGAGGCUCGAAAGCGUGGGGAGCAAACAGGAUUAGAUACCCGGGUAGUC
rnacentral:rRNA from 1 species